UUUCUCUGCGAUCAUCACAGUGAUAGAAAUACAAAAGGCAUAGAUAGCUGGUGGCAAACAUUUGCCAAGUUGCAAGCAAAGAAAAAAAACUGAGUGGAAAAUUCCUUGCUUCUGAUCAGAAAUGAUAAACGGAUGUGCACGAAGGUCCGGUAAGGUGCGUGACACCAACAUAGACUCGAUGAGAGCAAGGAGCUGCAUCGUAUCCGCUGUGGAUUAAAGGCAUGAAAGCAAAUGAGAGAACAAGCAAUGCAGGCACAUUUGUGGCAGAAUUGUGGGAAAUGUUAGUAGUAUAUGUGACUGAACUGAUUUCUCAAAAGCAAAACUUUUCAAAACUUGCAGUGCCCAAGAAAUCAAGAUUUGACCUGAGCAACCUUUGAACUUCCUAUCAUUAAGAUUUUGAGGACUCCUAGACUGCUUAAAGAAGAGCUAGAGGUUAACUUCCUGGGCAAGCUUCAAGACAGAAUUUGAAGAUGGUGAAGUUUCUGCUUGCCUGAUUCUGAAGAAUAACGUGGAGCUGAUCCUUGCCCAACCAUCCGGUCACCUGUUGCAGCUCACACAGACAAGAACUAAAUUCUCUUUGGCUGAAACUCAACCUGCUGAAAAGCCACCAUGUGGCUACCACAUUGGGGACAGCAGUGUUUGCAAGCCCUGGGGGAGACCAUCUAGUCACACGUUGCGCUCUCUGCUUGUUGGAAAAACUG